rnacentral:lncRNA from 1 species
UGCAACUCACAGAGUGAUCAGACCAAGAGAUGCAAACCGUUUCUCGUGCACUUUCUUCUAUAACGUGCAAGGAGACAAGUGGGUUGAACCAUUACCUCAGUUCACCAAGGAAAUUGGAGAGUCGCCCAAGUACAGAGGAUUCCUCUUCGGAGAAUAUAUGCAGUUGAGAAUCAAAAACGUCACUCAUCCACCAGCGAAACCUGAAGAUCUCAUCCAUAUAACACACUACUCAAUUUCUAAUUAGAGAAGACGUCUAUGUAGUGAAAGUUUAUCUAUAUUAUGGAAAUAAGAUGUAUUACAUCACUCCUAAUAUAUAUGUUGAAGUGUACGAUUAUCUCAAUUAAAAAUUUAAAUUGUUAGAGGGCACACAGUUAUUUUCUUAAGUAUGUUAAAGUUUGAAGAAAUUACUAUAUUAAUAAAUAAAAUAAUUUUACAUCGAGAUUAAUUGGAAGCCUUCAAUGGGUCCGCCCCAGACCAUACUUAUCCUUGUGUGUAAUUUUGUACCAAUAGAUUCAUCUUAGUCAUCUCACAAAACAAAAUUAUUGAUUGAUUUUUUUCAACAUCUUGGUUGCACAAGUACUGUUGCAGGUUCACAUGGCUAAUUCAGCUAUACCACCAAUAGUUGGUGUCUCCCCUCUCUUUCUAAGGACCCGUUUGGCCCCAAAAAUAUUUAGGAAAAAUUGAAGAAAAUUUGGGGAGUGGUAUUUGAUCAUAUAACUUGACAAAUAUAUUUGCCAAGUUUUCAAAUACUAGAAAAAACUAGUAUUUUGAUCAAGUUUUAAUAUUUGGAAUUUUAAAAAUUCAAAAAUUAUCCUAAACUUUUAUAUUUUAUAAAAAUACUUAUUAUUUAUUAAUUCCAACUAAUAAUUGGUACGACCUCCUCCGAAAAAGUUUGAGUUCUAAUUUGAGUGAUAAAAUUGAGAAAAAAAGAAUAAUUUGUGUUUAAUGGAUUAUAAUUAUAACUGAAUUAGUGAAAAAUUGAGUAUACAAUUAAUGUAUUGUCUUGCCUUGCCUAUAUUGUUAUUUUGUUAUUGUUGAUUGCUAUCAAUUAUAUUGUUUUUUUAAUGGGACAUAUUCAUUAUAAAAUGAUAAUAUAAACUUGUGGGUAUUUUUGAUAAUUUUUAGAACUUAUGGGUUAAAUAAUAUUUUUUGAAAUCGUCAAAUAUUUUUGGGAAAAUUUGGAGCCAAACACAUGGUGAAACUUCACCAAGAACUUCACCCAAAUAUAAUUUACCAAGAAUAUUUUAGUUUUGUACAAUUCAGAAUUUGUAUAAUAUAAUUUGUAUAACUUUUGUAUAAUAUAAUUUGUAUAACUUUUUACAUUUCAGAUGUUUAUAAUUGUUUAAAUUCGUUAUUACAAGUUUAUACAAAAAUAACUAAAUUAUACAAAUAUACUCGCGAAUUAUACAAAUGAGGCAGCUUAAAUUGUAGCUACAACCCAUAAAUAUGCAAAUUAUAGCUAUGGAACAUAAUUAAAUUUAUUAUAAUGACUAUUUGCAAAAGUUAUUCUAGAAACUGAAUAGGAAUAGAUUGUAAUUUCAUAUUAAAACUACGUGAUUUCUAAAAUUUAUACUAUUUAUAUUGGCAGAAAUCAAUAGUUGACUUCAUUUUUGUUUAUAGAGAGGUUGAGAAAUCAUUGAGAGUCAAGAGAAUUAAGGAAAUUAACAUGGCUAGUUUUGAUAUUCCAACAAUUGAUGUUUCUCCAUUUAUAAUAUCAGAGGAAAAUGAAGAAGGGAAAAAGAAGGCUAUUGAGCAAAUGAGAGAAGCUUGUGUUAACUAUGGUUUCUUCCAAAUUGCGAAUCACGGAAUUCCUUUGGAGUUGUUGAGCAGAAUCAUGGAUAUGUACAAGACUUUCUUUGCUUCUUCAGAUGAUGAAAAACUAUCGGUACCUUCUGAUAACUAUUUCAAAAGCACAAAGAAAUCAGCUGGGACUUAUGAGCAGCUAUACUGUUUCAUCUUUCAUCCUCUGGCUUCAAUAUCUGCCCCGAAAAUCCACCUCAUUUCAAGUAAUAUUUUACUAAUUUAUUUCCUCUAUUGCCCUAUUCUCUUUUGAUUGCAAACUGUUUCUAGUUUAAGCGAUUCCCUGUUAUGGUGAUUUCACUUAAAUGGUAAGGUAGGAAUGUUGUUUGUUAAAUAAAUAUGUUUUGAUAUUCUUAGGCAAGUAUUGGAGGAGAUGGCUUCGCAUUUCACAAAUUUAGGAUUUGUAUUGGGGAGAAUCAUAAGUGAGUGUCUGGGCCUCCCUCCUAACUUCCUAGCAAACUACAGAAAUGAUCAGGCUAGGGAUUUCUUGCUCGGCAUCCACUACAGUCCAGCGACAGAAGCUGAGAACUAGGAAAAUCCGCACACAAAGAUCCUGGCUGCAUCACCAUUCUCUACCAGGCUGAAGUUGGAGGUCUUCAGGUGCAUAAAGAUGAACAGUGGAUUCCCAUAGCGCCUUCCAAAAACAAACUAGUAGUUAAUAUUGGUGAUGUCAUUCAGGUAAUUAUAGUUUGGUUAUUCCUGAUUUAUUUCACAGUUAUCAUUAUCCCAAUUUUUUCGAGGAGUCAACAUUUUUAUUUUGUGUUUGACAUAUUAAAAAGGUGCUAAGCAACAAUAAAUUCAAGAGUGCAACGCACAGGGUGAUCAGACCAAGAGAAUCAAACCGUUACUCGUGUGCUUUCUUCUAUAACGUGCAAGGAGACCAGUGGGUUGAGCCAUUACCACAAUGCACCAAGGAAAUUGGAGAAUCGCCCAAGUACAGAGGAUUCCUCUUUAAAGAAUAUGUGCAGUUGAGACAGAGAGACGAGACUCAUCCACCAGCUAGACCUGAAGAUCAAUUCAAU